GGCUGAUCCAAAGGUAGUGAGUUAUCCCAAUUGAUUGUUCACAGCCAGUUACAGAUCAAACUGCUUGUUCUAUGCUUUCUCCUCUUCUCAUUACUGCACUUGACUAGUCUAAG
rnacentral:Y_RNA from 1 species